UUCGUCCAUAUAAACACGCUAUCCUGCCUAAUUGGGAAACUCGCAUAAACAGGAUGAAAACGUCCCGUCUAGGCGGGAUCAUAUAAACAGGCCCUUAACGUUUUCUACCUGUUAUGAGUAUGAGACGAAAACCAUCCGAUGAGUCAACCCAAAAAUUCCUGAAAACCUUUUUUUGGUGUUCUUUCCCAAAUGUAUUCGUACCACAUUUACACAAUACCUUAAUAGAUUUAGGGGCCAACAUCGCAAAGCGACUGGUAUAGAG